rnacentral:rRNA from 1 species
UACGGGGGGGGCAAGCGUUGUUCGGAAUUACUGGGCGUAAAGGGCUCGUAGGCGGCCAACUAAGUCGGAUGUGAAAUCCCCAGGCUCAACUUGGGAACUGCAUCCGAUACUGGAUGGCUUGAAUUCGGGAGAGGGAUGCAGAAUUCCAGGUGUAGCGGUGAAAUGCGUAGAUAUCUGGAGGAACACCGGUGGCGAAGGCGGCAUCCUGGACCGGUACUGACGCUGAGGCGCGAAAGCCAGGGGAGCAAACGGG